rnacentral:lncRNA from 1 species
UUAAUCUAGAUCCGUGUCUCUCAAUCUUCCUGAUGCUUUGACCCUUUAAUACAGUUCCUCAUGCUAUGGUCACCUCAACCAUAUAUUUAUGUUCGUCAAUAUUUCAUGACUGUAAUUUUGCUACUGUCAUGCAUCGUUGUGUAAGUAUGUGUGUCUUCUGAUGGUCUUAGGUGUCCACAUGUCUCUUCCUCUUUUCUUCCUCCUCCUCCACCUUUUUCUUCUUUUCCCUUUUUGAAUCAGAGUCACAUGUAGUCCAGGUUGGCUUUGAACCAUCUAUUUAGCUGAGGAUCCUCAGGUUUCCGCGUCUGGAAUGCUGGCAUUAAAGGCCUGGCCAACCCGCUCCCGGCCCCCACCUCCCCAUACAGCAGCCAGGACCCAGUCCUGUGGCUUUACCCUGAUGGCAAAGUUUAAUCUCUGUCACAACCUCCACAAAGGCCCAUGGCUAAACUCUAUAGAGUUGGAUUGCGUCCAGCCUCUUCACCUCUUCCAAUGGAGAUUAAAUUUCAGAGC